UGUCACGCGGCAGGUACGCUGUGUCACAUGGCAGGUACGCUGUGUCACCAGCACGUACGCUGUGUCACGCGGCAGGUACACUGAGUCACCAGCACGUACGCUGUGUCACGCGGCAGGUACGCUGUGUCACCAGCACGUACGCUGUGUCUCCAGCACGUACGCUGUGUCACGCAGCACGUACGCUGUGUCACGCGGCACGUACGAUAUGUAACGCAGCAGGUCCACUGUGUAACACAGCAGGUACACUGUG